CUUGAUGGAGCCCUUGAGGCGGCGGCUGAGGAAGCCCUGCGCGCGGGGCGACAAGAAGGGCGACCAGGUCUGGCCCUCAGGGUGGAGCCCUUUGCCUGGGGCCAGAGUAUCCCAGCAGGGACAAGUACGUUUGGUUCAAGAUCCCUAGUGCCUAGCUCAGGAAUGGGCCGAGGGGCUAAGGGCUUGCUGAGUGUCCCCAUUUCCUGCUUCAAGAUUUGGAGCCAGGUCCCUUGAGGAAGUCUGGGCCUUAACUAGAGGGACAGCUGCCUAGCCCCAUUCAUGGCCCACGGUGGGGAGAGUCCAGCUGCCCGGAGGAGGAGUGCAGCAGACCUCAGGGAGGGGCGGCGCAUUCAAGCCAUUGGUCCAUCUACCAGGCUUCCCAGGACUCAGGACAGAGCUUAAUCCCACCCCCAGCCCCAAGAGCUCCUGGCCCAAUGGCGACACCGCAUUUGAUACAUGCGGGCUGAACAACGCUCCCUUUACUAGGGAAUGGGUAGAUUUGCAGCCUCAAGGUGCUACAGCCUGGGGUGUUCUGAAGUUGGAACACACUGACUGGAUACUGGAAGGAGAGGAAAUGGUGGGGGGAGGCAGGGGGAUUUUCUGAGGGGGUUCUGGGAUUCACUGCCCCCGCCUCAAUUCCAGGUGAAUGGGAUAUUGACUUGUUUUGAAAUUUUUUAAUGUUGUACACAAUCUGAAUAUUAUAUUCCACUCAUUGUGCCACAGAGUAGGUCUGGGGUCCUCUCUGGCCCAAAGGAAAAGGUGAACAUUUGCUAUAGGUCAUGCCCCAUGCUGGAUCGAUCCCUCUGUAUGGCCCCAGCACCCUGGACAGGACAAGGUUAAACAAGGUUAGACAUGACCAACUGUACCCCUUGUCUCGUCACCCAUACACACAGAAAAACAUUAUCCCUUUCUGCAAAAGAAGAAACCUUGCUCAGAGAGGCAAAGGGACUUUCCCAAGGACACACAGCUUCUAGGCCUACCUAAAGCCACAGCUCUUUCCAUAGACCACCUCUCCUACCCACCCUCUUCAAGCUUUCCCUUCUCCAAUCCUUCUCCCCUUACUUUUCCUCCCGAUCAAUCUCUCACCUCCAUGAGAGACCCAGCCCCGUAGCUGUAGCUAUCAGUCAGAAUUCUGCACAUCUUACCAGGCCCAGCUGAAACGUGACCCCAUCCAGAAGGCUUCCCAGGCACUGCGUCUAAAUCCCUCUAACCUCUGCAGCUCAGCAGUAUCCGCGAAGGUGCUCUAACUAGCUGCAUGCAGUUCACCGAAUAUUUCUAAGGUGUUAGCUGGGGGAGGGACCCUCUUCCAGAGGGGGAGCCAUAGGGCCUGAUGCAGAGGAACCACAAAUGGUUGCAGAUCAGGCAACAGUGGACCCUCUGGGAGACACGGCAUGAAGGCAGGAACCCAAAGUUUUCCACGAGCUCUGGGAAUCUCCAAACGUUGGCCUUUUGCCAGGUGUGGGGGGAGGGGAGGUACACCUGGCCCACAUGGAUGGGUUCUUCUCUAACAGGUGUCAUGUUCAAGCAAGUUCCCCCGGCGUGCUUGUACUUUUUGGUUUUCAUUUCCUUUAGUGAUGGAAAUUUCACCAUUUUACACUCCUGUGGCACAAAGAACCAUGAAGCAUGUUUCAUAAUUUAGGUAGCUCAUUAUGUAGCAAUAUUGAUAGCUUUACCCUAUUUUUGAGUUCAAAAAAAUUUUUUCUCUCCCUUCUAGGAGGUUGAGUGAGACGUGUGUCACUUCCUCUCCCCAUCUCUCCUAAGGUGACACUUAAUGUUCCUCUGACAAGCAACCUCCUCCAGGAAGCCUACUCUGAAUAUACGCCCCACACAUGCCCAAACUGACCAUCACCUUGGGGACUCAAAUUCUCUGUAACAUUCACCCCUUCCCCACUUCUCAAAGUCCGCUAUGUGCUACACACAGGGACCGAGACAGUCACGAACACCAGGAGGCGAGCAAUAUGCAGAUCAAGAGGCAGACAGCUCAGAUCAUGAGGACGGUGAUUCUUUUGAAGAGCAGGGAGGAGCCCAAUUCAUUUCCACACCACACAUGGCUACCCUUGUGUCCUCCAGAGGACCCAGCUCAGGUCCCUGCAUAUGGCAGGCUCAACAGAUGCUCAUCAUCCCAGAAAGCCACAGCUAGAAGGGGACACAGAUCUGAGGUUGCAUUAUGUGGGGGAAUGAGGCCCUAAGGGUCACACAGCAAGGUCAGUCCAAGACCCGGGACUCCAGUCCCCCCCUGCUCUGCCCAGCCUCACAGCUUCCUUACCGACCAAUUCAUGGGGUGGAGGGCCAAGGGUGGCUCUACACCCAGCCGCUGAAGGAGGGAGAUGCACCUUUACCCCUGUCCUUUCAUGGGAAGGUCCGAAGACAGGAUUUCUGGAGGCAGCUGCAGUGCUGAACCCUGCACUGCUGAGAGCUGGGAGCUGGAGGCGGGCAAAUGGGGCUCACCUCUGACACGGGAUGGCUGGCAAGCCCCUCUCCCUUCUCUGUGAAAUGGGUGGGGGCUGCAGUGAGAGUAAGUAGGACAGAGAAAGCUCUGGACCCCUCUCUCCACACCCGCAGGGACUGACUUUAUCCCACCGGCUCUAGGAGGCAGAUCCCACAUAAGCCGGCCCUGCUGAUCACACCCCCUGGGCCAAGCACAAGCCCUCUCACACGGCUUAUGUUCAACCCUUAACAUCCGCUGGGGUCAAACUACUAGUCCUCUCUGAGCCUCAGUGUCCCUAUCCAUAAAAUGGCUAGAGAUGAUAUCUGCCAGGUUGAGAUGGAUUAAAUGAGGUAGGAGAUCACCAGCAAAAUGGUAACUAUUAAGCAACUGAACCCAGUAGUCACCAGCUUUACUAUUCCAUUAUUACUCAUGGGGCCUCUAGGGCAGCCACUGAUUUUUGAUCUGAGGAGCAUUUUUGAUGUGACCAGCACAGGUGCACAUCUGUCUGGGCAAUCUGAGCAGCUGCCAGGUGGCCUGGCAUCCUGGUGUCCUGCCUAGUGAAUGAGUGUCAUGCUUGCAAAAUGAUGCUGGAGCCACAGACUGUCAUCCAGUUUGGGAGUUUUGAACUCUUGCAAGCAAGCACUUUUCUAAAGCAACCUCCCAGCGAUUCUGGAAGCACAGAGUGCUGGGCUGCUCAGGUGGAGGGCUCGGCCUGUAUUCACUAGAGCAGGGACUGACAUCCCCAGCUCAGCGAGCAGCCUGCACAGUCUGUGAGGACAGAGCCUGCUCCCUCCCGAGAUGGGCCACUCUGCCCCCACUAACGCAGCCACGUUCCACUUGCUUCUCAGACAGCUGUGUCACUGCGCUCAGGUCAACUGAGGCCCCAGGGGCUUCUGCACAGGCUGCUGCCUGGUGCUACCACUUCCAGCCACUCCCAGUGAUUGGGUGCUGACAGCCAUGUAGCCUCUGCCCCAUCUGUGACAGCCCCCCUUGGCUUCCACCCACGUCACUGACAAAGUGCAGGGCAGUCCCAAGGGGAGGACAGAAGCCUGUGGGGUCUCCGGCUAGAAGGACCCCCGUUCUCAGCAGCUCCUCCACCCCUGCUCCAGCCACCACGCCACCAUCCAGGCGUCAGGCCCACAGCCCUGCUCCUUCUCCAGGAUGUUCUGAGGCUUUCUCAAGGGCCUUUCAGAAUUCCAGACACACGAUUUCUUCACUCAUCUGUUGCAAUCAAUGCCAAGCGAUGAUGAUGAUGAUGAUAAGUGUGUCCCUGCUCCACCAAGUCGCUCUGCCCCUCACACUCACUGCACACACCCUGAGGAGGGCCCCCUGCCUCUUACUGGGACUCCCCAGGAAGCUGUGUGCCUCAGAAUGUAGCACGUGUCAGGUUUUCAAGUGGGCACACGGAGGCUCGGAGAAGUUAAGCCACGUGCCAAGUGGCAGAGCUGACAGGCAGUGGAGUUGGGAGUGUAACUGGGAAAGUUCUGGUCCAUGGUAUGGGCAAGUUGGGGACCCCGCACACACACACUCUUGCACAUGCAUGCACACACACAAGUCACAGGCCAGGAGGACCGACAGCUCAGCCCAUCCUCCCCACACUCAGCCCCAGGUACUGGCCUCGGGACGGGAGGGAAAAAGAGAAGGCGCACUCUCUCUGUGAGUUCCUGGGACUCGCGGGUGAGGACCUGGAAGCUCGGGGAGGGGCAGCCUUGCCCGGUACCAUCCUCUUGUGCGCUUCACUCCCCAACCUGAAGGCAGCACCUUGGCAUUUGCAUUCCAGCACUGCCACCUGGGCACCCGGGAGCCUCAUGUCACCCCUGGUCUCUGGGGCACUUUCUCACCUGAACGUAAAGCACCAAGCACCAUGCAUGACUCAUUGCAGGUGCUCUACGGAAGGUAGGUUCUUUCCCCCAACUCCACCGUCUACUUGGUUCUGCGGCCUCAACCCUGCAUCCUUCACCUGCUCCCCUUUCAAUAACCGGAACCUGGUCACUGCAAACAGGUGGGUGAGCCUGCCCUGCCCACGGAGCCCCCCGCUGCCCACCCUGGGCCCGCCCCUGAGGCAGGGCUCAGGAUGGAGGCAGCACCUCACCUCGGGGGCCCGCCCUCUGCCCAGGCCCAGCUCCCCCGCCCGCGGCCAGUUCUAAGGCUGGCAGCACCUGAGCAGAGACCCUCCAAGGUAGAAGCCUAUUUUAACAGGCUUGUCUCUUGGUAUCUUUCCUUGGGCUUGGAGCAAAUGCCAACAGCACACCUAAAUAAGCAAGAAAGGAAGGGGAAGAUCCCAUGCAGAUAUCAUCCAAAAACUAGAGACCUGCUGGGCACACAGGCUGGCAGGCAGCCUGGACACCCUGGCAGGCUGUAGUGACACCUCACCCCACCCGAGCACAGGCCCCGGGAAGGAGCUGGGGACAGUGAGGAGUCCUACUACCAGAGUCACAAGGCAAGAGCCCCGGAGGGCUCAUGGCGGCUGUCAGGACAACGCCCACAUGGUUCAGACAAGGUGCCAGAAGCCCAGCAGGCAGGGGACCUGCCCAGAGUCCCCGUGUCAGGUCAGGGUUCCCUCUCCUCAUCCAGCACCCCCACUUCAAGAACCUCCCAGGCCCCCCACGUUUCCUCUUUUCAGGCCUCAGUCUUCCCGUCUGUAUUGUGGGGGCUGGACUGGCUGAUCACCGGGCUCCUUCCCAGCGCUGGUGACUGAUGCGUCUACAAAGCCAGAGCAGCCGCCUUCCACAGCUGGGCUCUCCUGCCCCGGCACAGACAGUACCAGCAAAUCCUCUGGCUGCGCCGAGCCCUUCCGAUGCACAAUCCCUCCUCCCUCCUUCCCUGCUCCUGGGGCUCUGCCCUCCGCAAGCUGUUGGGCCUCCUGGCCUCCUCCCUGAGAGGUAGGCACCAUCAAAGAAAGUCCCAGAUGGGGAAUGACUCACUAAUGGUGGGACGUCAGGCACUGUGACAGGUGAAACAGCAACCAUGUGUUAAGUCGGGAUUAAGCUGACGGUGCCUUCCUGGGGGCCACCUACUCACAGGCCAACCUAUGCCCCCAGGGCCCUCCCUCACCCCCUGCCAGUGCUCCUUGGAAUGUAAGGCUUCCUCAUGCCUCGCCGCCCAGAGAAGGUAGGCAGACUGCCUGGGUCACACAGAGAUCCAACCCCUGGGCCCUGAGAGCCAGGAGGGGGCUGGGCCCUGACACUCAAGGACCAUU